rnacentral:rRNA from 1 species
AUCUACGGCCAUGCCACCCUGAACACGCCCGAUCUCGUCUGAUCUCGGAAGCUAAGCAGGGUCUGGCCUGGUUAGUACUUGGAUGGGAGACCACCUUGGAAUACCAGGUGCUGUAGGCG